rnacentral:tRNA from 1 species
GGGGUUGUGGCUCUGUGGUGGAGUGCUUGCCCAGCACACAUGAGGCACUGGGUUCAAUCCUCAGCACCACA